GCCUCUUUGGCUCAGUGGUAGAGAACUGGUCUUGUAAACCAGUGGUCGUGAGUUCGAUUCUCACAGGAGGCA
rnacentral:tRNA from 1 species